GUUUGUCAUAUGCCUUUCAAAGAUUAAGCCAUGCUGUCUAAGUAUAAGCAAUUUAUACAGUGAAACUGCGAAUGGCUCAUUAAAUCAGUUAUCGUUUAUUUGAUAGUACCUUUACUACUUGGAUAACCGUGGUAAUUCUAGAGCUAAUACAUGCUAAAAAUCCCGACUGUUUGGAAGGGAUGUAUUUAUUAGAUAAAAAAUCAAUGCUCUUUGAGCUCUUUGAUGAUUCAUAAUAACUUUUCGAAUCGCAUGGCCUUGUGCUGGCGAUGGUUCAUUCAAAUUUCUGCCCUAUCAACUUUCGAUGGUAGGAUAGUGGCCUACCAUGGUUUCAACGGGUAACGGGGAAUAAGGGUUCGAUUCCGGAGAGGGAGCCUGAGAAACGGCUACCACAUCCAAGGAAGGCAGCAGGCGCGCAAAUUACCCAAUCCCGACACGGGGAGGUAGUGACAAUACAUAACGAUACAGGGCCCUUUCGGGUCUUGUAAUUGGAAUGAGUACAAUGUAAAUACCUUAACGAGGAACAAUUGGAGGGCAAGUCUGGUGCCAGCAGCCGCGGUAAUUCCAGCUCCAAUAGCGUAUAUUAAAGUUGUUGCAGUUAAAAAGCUCGUAGUUGAACUUUGGGCUUGGUUGGCCGGUCCGCCUUUUUGGCGAGUACUGGACCCAACCGAGCCUUUCCUUCUGGCUAACCAUUCGCCCUUGUGGUGUUUGGCGAACCAGGACUUUUACUUUGAAAAAAUUAGAGUGUUCAAAGCAGGCCUUUGCUCGAAUAUAUUAGCAUGGAAUAAUAGAAUAGGACGUUAUGGUUUUAUUUUGUUGGUUUCUAGGACCAUCGUAAUGAUUAAUAGGGACGGUCGGGGGCAUCAGUAUUCAGUUGUCAGAGGUGAAAUUUUUAGAUUUACUGAAGACUAACUACUGCGAAAGCAUUUGCCAAGGACGUUUUCAUUAAUCAAGAACGAAAGUUAGGGGAUCGAAGAUGAUCAGAUACCGUCGUAGUUUUAACCAUAAACUAUGCCGACUAGGGAUCGGGUGUUGUUCUUUUUUUGACGCACUCGGCACCUUACGAGAAAUCAAAGUCUUUGGGUUCUGGGGGAGUAU
rnacentral:rRNA from 1 species